rnacentral:lncRNA from 1 species
UUUCCUCUGCAUGCCAUGAGAAAGGCACUCUAUUUUACAUGUUCCAAAUGCAUGCUUAAUUUAAGAACACCUGCAAACAGCCCUGUCCUUGGCUCCUUGCUACUAAUGGAGAGGGCAACACCUCACACACAAACAGUAAGAUAGACUUCGGAGACACUACAUGUUGAACAUGCAGAACUUGUCCAAACAGACUCAUGUGAUGGGAAAAUUAUGAAAAAAAUGUUGAGCCAUAAGGUGACUACCUGGUAGAGCCUGACCUUCUCUUAACAGAACCCCACUGAGCAGUCCUACAAUAUAAAACAAUCAUGAACAUCAAAUCAUGGCCCAUAAAGAACAUGGUCAACAUGAAAAUUUAUUCAUUUUCUGCAACAGAUAUAUAGCCUAUUAUACCAAGUAUACAAAGCAUUUCAAGGGGGUACAUUCCCAAAGCGCAAGAACAUGCUUGCUUUUAUAGCCAAGCAACUCAUUUUUUUCCUCAGCUACGUGCACCCCAUUCACAAAACUAAAUUAACAAUUCAUAACCCCAAUGUCAUCCAUAUAUAAUUGGCCACCAGCAGAUAAUACAAAAAACAAAACAAAAUAAAAAUAAUAACCAAGCAAGGUUAAUUGAAUCACCGAUAUGGUUACAUUUAACCAUUACAAAAAGAAAGAAAUAUGUACAUGCACAGUUGAUUGCAAGAUAAUAGCCCAAUCAUUCUACAAUAUCUUCUCCAAGGAAUUAUUUCCCUCUCGCUCGCUCCUUCAACGUAGUGCUUAUUGCAAUCAAAUUAAACAAGCAGUACUUGUUACUAAUCUCGCCUUCACUUAUUCUAACAAAUAAACAUGACCGACACUCCUAAGCAAAUUACCAUUGCCAUACUGUUGCAAACAAAAAUAAACAUUUUUUUUCUUUUUAAUUACAUGCUGCCUCCGUUCCAGCGGCACAACAAUAGAUUAAGUGCACGUGAGAAAUUGACUCUGUUCUAAGGCAAAUUGAUGUGUCUAAUUGCUAAAUUUCCAUAACCACCCAAUAUCUUUUCCAGUUGGUUCCCGUUGUCAUGUAUCCGCCGUGAAUUUUACCUGCAUCGUUUCUGCCUUUAUCGAGAGAUACCAAAACUUUAAACUUCACAAUAGCAAUUUCUAGGGGAAAUUGAUCGUCAUUUCUGGGGGUGAAAAAGAAUUCAAUUAUUAGAUUUUUUGGGGGAGGAAACGAUUUUGAUGAUCUUAAUUCCUUCCUGGGGUGUGAAAAAUCUUUUGAUGAAGGCCUCUGGUGGACGCUUAUUUAACAUUUUUUUUCCUUUGUUUAAUUAUUAAAUUAUCUUUCAACAACCGGCAAUAGGCCUUUACCAUUUUUCUUUUUCGACCGUUAGAUUCAUUCAGUUUACAUCCAACGGCAAUUUAAGAUGGAGACAAAAAGUAUGGUACCUUACCACAGUGUAACAUAGGCGGACCCAACAAGACGAUAGUCGCAAACUUAUUUUGUACUAGGAGUAAUGAUUAUGUACAAAAAUGGGCACAGAAAGGUCUUUGGCUCUACAGUCUACUCGGUGAUUCGUGAAAUACUGAAAUGCUUUCAAAGGGGGGCAAAAAGAAAAAAGAAAAAAGAAAAAAGAAAAUAGAAUAUAUUCUAAUUUUUUUAAUUAAAAAAAAAAAAC